rnacentral:rRNA from 1 species
CCUACGGGAGGCAGCAGUGGGGAAUAUUGGACAAUGGGCGAAAGCCUGAUCCAGCAAUGCCGCGUGAGUGAUGAAGGCCUUCGGGUCGUAAAGCUCUUUUACCCGGGAUGAUAAUGACAGUACCGGGAGAAUAAGCUCCGGCUAACUCCGUGCCAGCAGCCGCGGUAAU